AUUGAACGCUGGCGGCAGGCCUAACACAUGCAAGUCGAGCGGAUGAAGGGAGCUUGCUCCUGGAUUCAGCGGCGGACGGGUGAGUAAUGCCUAGGAAUCUGCCUGGUAGUGGGGGAUAACGUCCGGAGACGGGCGCUAAUACCGCAUACGUCCUGAGGGUGAAAGUGGGGGAUCUUCGGACCUCACGCUAUCAGAUGAGCCUAGGUCGGAUUAGCUAGUUGGUGGGGUAAAGGCCUACCAAGGCGACGAUCCGUAACUGGUCGGAGUGGAGGAUCAGUCACACUGGAACUGAGACACGGUCCAGACUCCUACGGGAGGCAGCAGUGGGGAAUAUUGGACAACGGGCGAAAGCCUGAUCCAGCCAUGCCGCGCGUGUGAAGAAGGUCUUCGGAUUGUAAAGCACUUUAAGUGGGGAGGAAGGGCAGUAAGUUAAUACCUUGCUGUUUUGACGGUACCAACAGAAUAAGCACCGGCUAACUUCGUG
rnacentral:rRNA from 1 species